rnacentral:rRNA from 1 species
AUUGAACGCUGGCGGCAUGCUUUACACAUGCAAGUCGAACGGCAGCACGGGGGCAACCCUGGUGGCGAGUGGCGAACGGGUGAGUAAUGCAUCGGAACGUGCCCUGUCGUGGGGGAUAACACAUCGAAAGAUGUGCUAAUACCGCAUACGACCUGAGGGUGAAAGCGGGGGACCGUAAGGCCUCGCGCGAUAGGAGCGGCCGAUGUCUGAUUAGCUAGUUGGUGGGGUAAAGGCCAAGCAAGGCGAGGAACAGUAGCUGGUCUGAGAGGACGACCAGGCGCAGUGGAAGAGAGACACGGACCAGACUCAUACGGAAGUGAGCAGUGGGGAAUUUUGGACAGUGGUGGCAAACCUGACCCAGCCAGGCCGCGUGGGUAAAGAAGGCCUUCCGGUUGUAAAGCUCUUUCGGCCAGGAAGAAAUCCCCCGGGUGAAUACCCUGUGUGGAUGAAGGUACCGGAAUAAGAAGCACCGGCUAACUACGUGCCAGCAGCCGCCGUAACAC